UUGGAAAUUCUUCUUUACGUGAUCCUGGAGGAGGGGCGAUGCUACAUUACUAAGUCCGUCUUUGGUUUGUUCCAAAUUCAGAAGUCUGCUGUACUGUAUACAGACUCCUUUCAAAAGAGGGCACAAUCCAGCUGGCUUGACUGAGUAUCUUCUUUUACAUAUUUGAUUAGAGGUUUAAAAAGGUGGAACAAAAUGGAGAACAAGUCUAAGCCAUGUCAGGAAUUCAACAAAAUGUACACCCUGCAGACACUGCGACGAGGUUUACAACAACUGCUUACCAGGUCACUGCAGUCACCCGGAUCCAGUACGUAUCCAGACCAGAUGGUGGAUCGCACCUAGAAAGGACCUCUACAUCCCUGAAAGACAGCGGAGACCAGGACAACUAGAGCCCCAGAUACAGAUCCCCUGUAAAGACCUUGUUUUUUCUCCAUUUUGUUACCGGUGGAGUUUUGGUUCCUUGUCGCCUCUGGCUUGCUUGGUUGUGGUCACUUCAUUUACAGUGAUAUCAUUGACAUGUUUGCAAACGAUUCCACAGAUAAUAUUUAAACUGAACCGAGCUAAAGGAUGACAUCACUGAAUUGAAUGAUAAACUGCCUUUUAAACUGACUACAAACUGAGUUUACUAAUGUCCUUCUGCAUUAUUGACUGACACACUAUUUUCCUAUUUAAUACUGUAAAGUUGCUUUGCUUUGAUCUUUAUUAUUAAAAGCACUAUAUAAAUAAACGAUGCUUGACUUGACCAUGUUGCAAGAGGAAAAUGAGGAGAGAUGCACAUCCACCCUGGGUUUUACAGUGAUUGGUGCAAGAUGCUGUUGAAGUAACUCUGUAUACCUCAUCAGUUCUGAUCUAAGAGUCUUGAAAAUACCUCCGGAUUGUUGUUAGUGAUUCUGAUUGAAAUUUUAGUCUGCUUGCUUACUGGAUAUAUUUUAUACGGUUUACAUUGUAAAGCACUGACUUUGACAACUUACUAACCCAGUUACAAAUUGAACAGCUACUUUAUACUAUAUAUAUAUAUAUAUAUAUAUAU